rnacentral:lncRNA from 1 species
AAAUUUUUAAAUUUUUUAAAAAUAAUCUUUAAAAAAUUUAAUAAUGUUUUGUUGAUUAUGUGAUUAUGUGCACAACUUUCUCAAGGUGUCCUUCCAUUAUCUUCCUCUUAUUCUAUUAUUGGCACAAUUAACAUGAAAGUUAGGCAUAACACUUAAUUGUACGAUAAUAUUAUACAAUUAUAUUAUGUUUUACUUAAAUCUAACAUCUUAAAAAUUAUGACAGACGAAACUAAAUUUGAGAGAGACUUGAACAUGUGUUUAUAUUUGUAAUAAUUAAGAUUUUGCAAAUAAUACUUCAGUCCCACUCCUUCUCUACUGCUUAAGGCUCGUAUCACACUCUUCUAACUUUGAAUUAACAAGUGUUGAAGACGACACCUUUGAUGUGCUUGAAAGUUGAAGACGCCACCUUUGAUGUGCUUGAAUAAUCCGUUGCUUGAUAUAACUGAGGAUGCCUUGAUUGAAGAUCUUGUCUUGAGGCCUUGAGCUCCACAGCGUGAAAGAAAAGUCCUACUAAGUGACCAAGGGUCUUUUGUCCACUCAAUUAGACUGGGGGAUUAUACAAGUUCAAAAGAUUUAAUUAAUCAAAAUUACUUUUGAUCAAUUUAAUCGGGGGCUUGGUUUUAGUUUUGAAGGGAACUAAUUUUGGAUCUAAUUGAAGUUAGUAAUUGAUAGAACUAUCCUAAGGGAUCAUGCAUUAGGAAGUGAUUGAAUAUUCUAAGUUAGAUUAGAAAUCCUAAGGGAG